rnacentral:tRNA from 1 species
AGACAGGAAGCAUAAUUGUGCAGUGAGCUUAGGCCUCACAGGUGGAGGACUAGCCUUCCCUGGCUA